UACGGGGGGGGCAAGCGUUGUUCGGAAUUACUGGGCGUAAAGGGCGCGUAGGCGGCAACUCAAGUCAGCUGUGAAAUCUCCGAGCUUAACUCGGAACGGUCAGCUGAUACUGUUUUGCUAGAGUGCAGAAGGGGCAAUCGGAAUUCUUGGUGUAGCGGUGAAAUGCGUAGAUAUCAAGAGGAACACCUGAGGUGAAGACAGGUUGCUAGGCUGACACUGACGCUGAGGCGCGAAAGCCAGGGGAGCAAACGGG
rnacentral:rRNA from 1 species